CUGCGCUCCCGCCGCCUCUCGCCCGCCGGCCUCCCAUAGGCUGCGGCUCCGCUCCUCCUCCUCCCGCGCCUGCCUGCCUGCCUGCCUGCCUCCCCUCCUUCCCCCGUGAUGGCGGAGGACAGCGAGUCUGCCGCCAGCCAGCAGAGCCUCGAGCUGGACGACCAGGACACCUGCGGCAUCGACGGCGACAAUGAGGAGGAGACGGAGCACUCCAAGGGAAGUCCAGGAGGAGACUUGGGAGCAAAAAAGAAGAAAAAGAAACAGAAGCGAAAAAAGGAAAAACCAAACUCCGGAGGUACCAAAUCAGACUCUGCAUCUGACUCCCAAGAGAUUAAAAUCCAACAACCUUCAAAAAAUCCAGCCAUUCCAAUGCAGAAGCUGCAAGACAUUCAAAGAGCCAUGGAACUCCUCUCGGCUUGCCAGGGACCAGCAAAGAACAUUGACGAAGCAACCAAACGUAAAUACCAGUUUUGGGAUACGCAGCCUGUACCCAAACUUAGUGAAGUUAUAACAUCUCAUGGUGCAAUUGAACCAGAUAAGGACAACAUCCGUUUAGAGCCAUAUUCAUUACCGCAGGGUUUUACAUGGGACACUUUGGAUCUGAGUAAUGCCGAAGUUCUAAAAGAAUUAUACAUGCUGCUAAAUGAAAACUAUGUAGAAGAUGAUGACAAUAUGUUUAGGUUUGACUAUUCCCCAGAAUUUCUCUUGUGGGCCUUGCGGCCUCCAGGCUGGCUUCCGCAAUGGCACUGUGGAGUCAGGGUAUCAUCCAACAGAAAGUUGGUGGGAUUCAUAAGUGCCAUCCCUGCCCAUAUUCGGAUUUAUGAAAGUGAGAAGAAAAUGGUAGAAAUUAAUUUUCUGUGUGUACAUAAAAAGCUGAGAUCUAAACGAGUAGCACCCGUCCUGAUACGCGAAAUAACCCGGAGAGUCAACUUGGAAGGGAUUUUUCAGGCAGUUUACACUGCAGGCGUUGUACUUCCCAAGCCUGUAGCAACUUGCAGGUACUGGCAUCGAUCAUUGAAUCCUAGGAAAUUGGUAGAGGUGAAAUUUUCUCAUUUGAGUAGAAAUAUGACUCUACAGAGAACAAUGAAACUCUACAGACUUCCUGAUGCCACAAAAACUUCUGGUUUGAGACCAAUGGAACGGAAAGAUAUAAAAGCAGUUCAAGAAUUAGUUAACAAUUACUUGAAGCAGUUUCACCUUGCUCCUUUUAUGGAUGAAGAUGAAGUGGCCCAUUGGUUCCUGCCACAGGAUCAUAUUAUUGACACGUUUGUUGUAGAGGGUUCUAAUGGUAUUUUAACCGACUUCUUGAGUUUCUAUACGUUACCUUCAACAGUAAUGCACCAUCCUGUCCAUAAAAGCCUCAAAGCUGCUUACUCCUUCUACAAUGUUCAUACAGAGACCCCUCUUCUGGAUCUUAUGAAUGAUGCACUCAUUAUAGCAAAGCUGGAUUUGAUGUGUUCAAUGCACUAGACUUGAUGGAAAAUAAAACAUUCCUGGAAAAACUGAAAUUUGGUAUUGGAGAUGGCAACUUGCAAUAUUAUUUGUAUAACUGGAGGUGUCCUGGCAUGGAUUCUGAAAAGGUUGGUCUUGUACUACAAUAAGGACGAAAGACAUUUGUAUUUAUAGUUCUUGAUAAUAAUCAUCUGGGCUGACAGAAGCUCUUGGACCCGUGCAGCUCAAGAGGAGUAAAAGCACAACGCCUGAUGAACUUUAAAUAAAACCAUUGAACCUUGCGGGUGUGCAGGAGGGGAGCAAAGAAAUCCACGAGGGACCAGCCCUCCACACCUUCAGUUGUGAACAGGAAGAGCUCAUUGGCCUUUUUCUGUUUUUAUCCAUGAAAAGAAAGCACAGGUGUUUCAUUUUGCAACGCUUAGCUCGCAUCUUGACAAAAAAAAGAGUUUUUCUCUCUUCCCCCUUCCUUUCCCCUGCAUAGGACUGUUUUUGUACAACAACUCAAUGGCAGUGUUGGAAUAGAGUACAAAUUCUUUACUGUUAUGUGACUGAACUGCUGCAUUUCUAUUUAUUAAGUGGUAGUGUAUGUUUAUCCGUGUAACAAAAAUGAAGGAGCCAAUUUUAAGUAUUUCUGCUUAUUUCCAUUACGAGGAUGUCAUCGUCAAAAGGGAGGCAGGUUGGGGAGUCUGACUGUUUAUUAGGAAACAAUGGAAAUCUUGGAUGUCUUUUGUAACUGUGGAGUGGUCCAGAAAUGUGCUGGUUUGACUGGUGCAUUUGUUUCUCCAUAAGCAAUGCUGCCAAAUCAAUAAAAACGAACACACAGAUUUGUACUUUGA